rnacentral:rRNA from 1 species
AUACGGAGGAUCCGAGCGUUAUCCGGAUUUAUUGGGUUUAAAGGGAGCGUAGGUGGAUUGUUAAGUCAGUUGUGAAAGUUUGCGGCUCAACCGUAAAAUUGCAGUUGAAACUGGCAGUCUUGAAUACAGUAGAGGUGGGCGGAAUUCGUGGUGUAGCGGUGAAAUGCUUAGAUAUCACGAAGAACUCCGAUUGCGAAGGCAGCUCACUAGACUGUUACUGACACUGAUGCUCGAAAGUGUGGGUAUCAAACAGGAUUAGAUACCCUGGUAGUCCACACAGUAAACGAUGAAUACUCGCUGUUUGCGAUAUACAGUAAGCGGCCAAGCGAAAGCAUUAAGUAUUCCACCUGGGGAGUACGCCGGCAACGGUGAAACUCAAAUGAAUUGACGGGG